rnacentral:tRNA from 1 species
GGCUCUGUAGUGAAGUUCAUGGUGAGUUGCAAGCUCAUUGAUGUGUGGUGAUUCCACACCGGGGCCU